GGACCUGUCUGUGUGGGGCUGGCCUGCCUGUGGCCCCCUCAGAGAGAAGUGGCGCUGGGAUGAGAUGGGGGCCGUGGUUGUCUGGGCGAGAGUCUCGAAGGACCUUACAAAGGCCCUUCCGGAUCAGCCUCCCAUCGAUGACUUGAAGUCCUGUCACAUGACCGCAGGAGGGUCUUCUGUCAUUUAGGGUCCAACCAAGAAACAGAAACACGUAGCCAUUUCAGACAGAGAGACUUAUACAGGGAGUUCAUUCCACAGGUCAGGGGAGAGCUGAGAGCCGAAGAGGGGAUGAUGAGUCAGCCCAGAGAUGAGCUGGUGCCCUGGGGAUGGAGGGAGCUGGUGCUGUGGGGAUGGAGGGAGCAAUCAAGGGGAUGCCCUUGAUUGCAGUUGGGUGCUCUGCCCUGGGGUGGUGGGGUCGGCAGAGCCUGGGAGCCCGGGCUGCCUGGUGCCAGGUGGAGGCUGCUGGGUGGGAGCUGGACCACGGCGGGGAUGCAGCUGCUGCCGGCCAUCUCGCUUGAGGAGGAAGAUGCCAGCUUCUGUCUCUAUCCCCCUCUUCCGUCUCCCCAGACCCUGCCUUGCCUGACCGGAACCGCGCUGACAACCCACUGGCAAGGGAGUCUGGGACAUGCAGCCCACAGACACCGGCCCCCUGCCACACAGGAAGGAAGGUGUUGGAGGCGAGAGGCCUGGGACUGGCCCUGUGAUGACUUGUCCUUAAAUGCUUCGGGUGUUGGGGAGCUCACUCUCAAGCUCUGGAAGGAGCAGCAAUAGUCCACUUCGUUGCCAGCUGAGUAUGAACGUUGGCUCAGAAUAAGGAAGAAAGUUCCCUGUGACUCCCCCGCUAAACCAAGGGAUCCGUCUUCAGAGCAUCAGCCCUUUGUGUAGUAGGACAGUUGGCUGCCCCAAGCCUCGGCUUUGCUCACGCUCUCGUAUCUGCCAGGAAAGCCCUUCCCACCCUCCACUGCUUGGCUAAUUACCCAUCUGAUGAGAUGGAGCUCUUCCAGGAAACUUCUGGCACACCCUGUGCCCUUCUAUGGCACCUCAGACUUUGUUCUCUGUUCUGCACUAACCACGUCGCGGUAAACGUGGAUUUCUGCGUUUGGCCCCCCUGAUUCACGGGGGGCACAGAGACUGAUGGCCUUGGGUGGCAUCACAUCCCAGAGACGCUCCAGUGUGCCGAGCCUACCAGAGCUUUGUGGACGCGCUCUAACUUAAUCCUCCGCAGGAUUAAUCCUGAAAGUAGCUAUGAUUAGUCCGCAGUUUUCAGCUGGAGGAUCUGCGCAGAGCUGGGAUUUGAACCCAGCUUCUUCUGGCUGGGAAGGCCACGUUCCUUCGCCGUGGGCCACGUGGUCUUGUCACAGCACGGCUGGCCCGGGGGUGCGACUGCCUCACUGAGACGUUUUCGGUUCAGCUUCUGGUGCCUCGCCCCCCACCCCCUGUCCCAGCCCCUACGUCAGCCCCUCGCAGACGAGGAUGCCGUUCCCAUGGCCACUUCUCCAUUCUGAAAUGACCAAGCGGCCUGGCUGGGCCGGCGGCUCUAACCACAGAUUGACAGAUGUUUCCAUGUGUGGAAGUGGGGUUUGAGUCUUGAGGCGCUGUUUUCGCGGUUCCCUUUUCGGCUCUUGUCCUUGGGCGACGUGACCCAUCACGGUUUCGUGGCCCUGAUGUGUUUCCCAUGUGUACUGUUCACAAUCUUUAGACUGUUCUUAACAGUCCUUUUUGUGAGCAUAGCACGUUCCAGUUUGCAGAGCCUGUUUAUACACAUUAGCUCAUUGGAUCUUCCCAGCAAACCAGGAGGGGGCUUAUUUGACAGAUGAGGGUUCAGAGAGUCUAAGAAAUGACAGCAGCAACGGUUUGCAGCCCUUGGCUGAACUCUUAGCACGUGUCCCUGAAGCACCGUGCUAAACCACGCGAUGCAGCCGUGGGAGGUGGGUAGCGUUAUUAUUCCUAUUCUAGAAGUAGGGAACUUGACGCUCCAAGAGGAUAGUUGACUUGCCCAAGGUCACAGAGCAGCAAAUCCAGACCCAUCUCUUAAUUCCUGGUCCAGUGUUCUAGCCAACUCUUUUUUUUUUUUUUAAAGAUUUUAUUUAUUUAUUUGAAAGAGAGAGAAUGAGAGAGAGCACAUGAGAGGGGGGAGGGUCAGAGGGAGAAGCAGACCGCCCGCUGAGCAGGGAGCCCGAUGCGGGACUCGAUCCCGGGACUCCAGGAUCAUGACCUGAGCCGAAGGCAGUCGCCUAACCAACUGAGCCACCCAGGCGCCCCUUCUAGCCAACUCUCGAGAACAGCUGCCAAACUGAGCAAAAAUGCCUUGUUAUAUCUCAACAAAUCUAUGACAUCACUGCAUACAGACACACCACUAUUUUAUAUGCCAUAGGAAAUAAAAAUGCUGUCAAUUAGGCUAAGACAAUACUUUCUUAUCACUUAGACUUUUUUUAUUUCACACUUAAUAAAAAAGCUCCUCUAGAUUUAGGUGCAUAAUGUACACAUAUCACUCUUGUACAUACAUAAAAGGAACAUUUAUAUGAAAAUAAAAUGAUAUGAAAUUUACACGAAAAUGUACUUCGUCACAUUGAAAAUCUGACUCUGAGUCAGAGUGACCAAUGCCUGUGCUUUUUUUUUUUUUUUAAGAUUUUAUUUAUUUAUUUGACGGAGAGAGACACAGUGGGAGAGGGAACACAAGCAGGGGGAGUGGGAGAGGGAGAAGCCGGCUUCCCGCUGAGCAGGGAGCCCGAUGCGGGGCUCGAUCCCAGGACCCUGGGAUCAUGACCUGAGCCGAAGGCAGACGCUUAACCGACUGAGCCACCCAGGCGCCCCUACCUGUGCCUUUUUAAACAAUAUUGUCCUCUGUGUCAGCAAGUGUUGGUGAUCUCUCUCUCUCUCUUUCCGUUUUUAAAUGCAUUUUAUUCAGCAAAAGCUUACAUAUAAUAAAGUGCACAAAUCAUAAGUACAUCUGAUGAGUUUUUAUCCAUGUAAAUAUACAUCUGUGAUCAUUGGUGAGCUGAUUGUUAAAUAUUUAGGAAUUUUGCAAACCAGCUUUUAAACUGUUUAUUGUUCAAAAUCAGCCAUCGUGGGAAUAUUUACACCAUGGAAACUGGCAAAUGCUACAGUUCUGGGCUUUUUUUCUCUCUCAGGGACCAGUUUACCAGCACAGUAUUGAACUACCACUGGGUUUAGGAAAGAGAUUUCCAGCACCCCCUAGAAGGCAAACUCUAUGCUCUCCCUAAUCCCUCUGCCACAAGCUAACCAUUCUGAAGCAGCUUUUCUUCCAAGAAUCCGUAGGUGGACUGGUGGCCCCUCCACGGGCUCUGCAUUGUGCAGUGCUCCCCACUUUUCACUCCCACAGGAAGAAUGCUGCUAAACACGUCUGCUUGCCCACCUCCCCUGCCCUGUACCCACAGCCGUCUGGUUCCUAGAGGCAAAGAAUACUCCUGUACUGUCUCCAGGAUUUUUUUUUCCCAAGCCACAGAAACCCAUACUAGAGAGAUGCUUGGCUUGAGAACUCCAUCCAGAGGGCCCCUGGCCAACAGCUCUGCAGCUCGUCUUGGCGAUCGAGCCUAUAAAGAUGUGCCUGCGUUCCCUGGAGGCCAGCGAUCUCAUGGGGCACCCCACCCCUGGGCGAGCGGGGUCUGCCUGCUUCUCUGGGGUCAGCCCUGAGCUGGAAAGAGAACCCGAACCCUGCAGGAAAUCUCGGCGUUGCCACCAGCCUGCUUCUGGACGUCUCUGGGGAUUGCUCAAAGUGUACCCUUAUGGGGUGGCACCUCGGACACACCUCUGUGAUGACUGUUUCAGGAUCAGCGUGGUCUUCUCCACCCAGCCGUGACCUUCUGCGACUGGCUUUUAAUCACCCCUGGGCUCCCUCAGAGCCCAGCACGCCCCUGACGUGGGGCAAGUGUCCGGGAUAUAUUUGGAUGAGUGAGCAGAUGACAGAGCAGGGAUGGAGAGACUUCAUCCUGAAGGCCCGUCUCACUGCCCUGGAGAAAGUCACUUCUCUAUCACAUCCACAGGGGCACUUGAGAUGACCACGCAAAAUGGCUUUGCAGGAGCUCUGCGGGCUUGAGAACAUGACUCAUGUGACCCCUUCAGAGAAGUCAGGACUCACGUGCUAUUUGAGUCCUUGCUCUGGGGCCGGACACAGAGCACUUUGCAUGAAUCCCUUCAGUGCUUCUCAAAGUAUGGGCCACAGACAAGCAGUGUCAGCAUCCCUCUGGAACUUGCCGGAAAUGCAAAAUCUUGGGCUCCUGCUGAAUCUGAAACCCUGGGGAUGUGGCUAGUAGUUUGUCUUUGACAAGUGCUCCAGAAGGUUCUGCUGAAAGCUAACAUUUGCAAAUCACGGCAUGAGCUCACGAGUCUGCCCACCAGUCCUGUGAGCCCCUAUUACUCUCUGAAACCAGGUGACAGAUUCGCUCGCGGCGUCCCUCCGGUCCGAGGGCCUGGGACCCCGGUGCCUCCACAGCUGGUUCUCGGGCACCCAGCACGCCCGAAGGUGCUGAACCAACACCCAGCGAAUGAGUAAAAGAGCAGGCCGAUGUUCUGUCACUUAAAGUGGACAGAAGGGAAGAAUUGGGGUUUUCUGCGGAGAUUCUAAAGCGAAGGCCAUUUCUGGGGGUCAUGGGGGUGGGAGAAACCAGGUCAAGGCAGGCUGUCUUCCAGGUGCUGAAAAUCCCCUCGGCCCGGGCCAGCCCCUCACUGGCCGGGCUUCUUGUUGGGUCUGGCGCAGACCUCAAGGAAACAUAACAUUUUUAAUAAAACC